rnacentral:rRNA from 1 species
GUGGGGAAUAUUGCACAAUGGGGGAAACCCUGAUGCAGCGACGCAGCGUGCGGGAUGACGGCCUUCGGGUUGUAAACCGCUUUCAGCAGGGAAGAAGCGAAAGUGACGGUACCUGCAGAAGAAGUACCGGCUAACUACGUGCCAGCAGCCGCGGUAAUACGUAGGGUACGAGCGUUGUCCGGAAUUAUUGGGCGUAAAGAGCUCGUAGGUGGUUGGUCACGUCUGCUGUGGAAACGCAACGCUUAACGUUGCGCGUGCAGUGGGUACGGGCUGACUAGAGUGCAGUAGGGGAGUCUGGAAUUCCUGGUGUAGCGGUGAAAUGCGCAGAUAUCAGGAGGAACACCGGUGGCGAAGGCGGGACUCUGGGCUGUAACUGACACUGAGGAGCGAAAGCAUGGGGAGCGAACAGGAUUAGAAACCCCAGUAGUCC